ACUCCUACGGGAGGCAGCAGUGGGGAAUAUUGGACAAUGGGCGCAAGCCUGAUCCAGCCAUACCGCGUGGGUGAAGAAGGCCUUCGGGUUGUAAAGUCCCUUUGUUGGGAAAGAAAUCCAGCUGGCUAAUACCCGGUUGGGAUGACGGUACCCAAGAAUAAGCACCGGCUAACUUCGUGCCAGCAGCCGCGGUAAUACGAAGGGUGCAAGCGUUACUCGGAAUUACUGGGCGUAAAGCGUGCGUAGGUGGUCGUUUAAGUCCGUUGUGAAAGCCCUGGGCUCAACCUGGGAACUGCAGUGGAUACUGGGCGACUAGAGUGUGGUAGAGGGUAGCGGAAUUCCUGGUGUAGCAGUGAAAUGCGUAGAGAUCAGGAGGAACAUCCAUGGCGAAGGCAGCUACCUGGACCAACACUGACACUGAGGCACGAAAGCGUGGGAGCAAACAGGAUUAGAUACCCUGGUAGCGACUGA
rnacentral:rRNA from 1 species